CAGCACCUCAAGUGGUCAGGAUGAUUAUUGGGCCUAAAGCAUCCGUAGCCGGCUCUGUAAGUUUUCGGUUAAAUCUGUAUGCUCAACAUACAGGCUGCCGGGAAUACUGCAGAGCUAGGGAGUGGGAGAGGUAGACGGUACUCGGUAGGAAGGGGUAAAAUCCUUUGAUCUAUUGAUGACCACCUGUGGCGAAGGCGGUCUACCAGAACACGUCCGACGGUGAGGGAUGAAAGCUGGGGGAGCAAAACGGAUUAGAUACCCGAGUAGUCC
rnacentral:rRNA from 1 species